rnacentral:rRNA from 1 species
UACGUAGGGUGCAAGCGUUAAUCGGAAUUACUGGGCGUAAAGCGUGCGCAGGCGGUGAUGUAAGACAGUUGUGAAAUCCCCGGGCUCAACCUGGGAACUGCAUCUGUGACUGCAUCGCUGGAGUGCGGCAGAGGGGGAUGGAAUUCCGCGUGUAGCAGUGAAAUGCGUAGAUAUGCGGAGGAACACCGAUGGCGAAGGCGAGUCCCUGGACGACUCCUGACACUGAGGCACGAAAGCUAGGGGAGCAAACAGG